UCUGGACUGACACCACAGACAGGAGCAUGUAGAGUAAAGCUGUUAAAGCUCCGGUCCAUCUCAACUUCAGAAGAUGUCUGACACCAGCAGCUUCCUCUCUGUGGACAGAAGACAUGUCAGCAGCAUCUGACUCUGGGUGGAAGUUCCUCAGGAUCCUCGCUGCUCUCAGUGGACUUUGCUGACAUGGCUCCAUCCCCUGAUCGCUAGGGUGCAGACUCUGGCUCCUGAUGCGCAAGAUGGCACCUUUCACCUCCGGGAUAUUUUGGCUUCUUUUCUGAGCAUUGGAAAAAAGUAGAGACACAUCUUUUAUAUGCACUCUAUGAAUUACGGUCUCCCAAGUCAUUGUCCAUUAACUUUACAUAAUGCACUGUAUAUAACAGUCAGAACAGAGUUUUUCCUCUUACAACGGGGAAAAGAAAUCCACGACAUGUCACUCCUUCAACCCUUUAACAAGUUGAAUUCAACAGGUGGAUUUAUCACUCAGGACAUUUUCACUUGUUUGGUAAAAAAAAAAGUUGUAAGGGACAUUUCUGCGUAUUUGCGUGUGUGCAUUUGAGCAAGUUCACAGGUAGUGUAUCCUCUCAAGGCCGGUUGGCAGUCAGGGCUACUGUAAACAUCCUUGACUGGAAGCUGGUGUUAGGUUCUGGGGCUUUCAGUCGGAUGUUUGCAGCAGCCAACUGCUAGUACCAUCGCUACAGUUCACCUGCUGUCGCCAAAUGGGUGGGAAGUCCACUGAAACACAACUGUAAGUACAGACUGUUGAGUGAUGACAAUGAUGACAGGACGAGGAAAGGAAAUGUUUGUGGAUCAGUUAUGAUAAAUUUGUAUUCACCAACAUCUUUUCAGUACUGCAAACUAUGCAUACAUUUACCUACUACACACUAGUUUUUAUUUGUAUUUCGCCAAAUAAUAAAAUACAUUAUCUCAAGGCACUUUACAUUGAAGGUCAAGACCUCACAUUUUUAGAGAAACCCAAGAUUUACCAAAAUGAGCAGCACUUUGGCGACUGUGGAAAGAAAAAACUACCUCAUUAACUGGCAGAAAUGGCUAGUAGAGCCACACUCAGUGUGAGCGGAGAUCUGCCUUGAGCGGCUGGGAUGAGCAGGAACAAAUUAGGGAACAGACGGGAGAGAAGAGAGAGAAACCAGUAACAGCAUCACGAUUCAGCUCUGACAAGUUGUUAAAAUGAAAACAAUAAGAGUGAUAAAUAUGGAUUUGGAGAUGUUAUUAAUGAUAGCAGCAACAAUCUGCAAGUGUAAGUGGAGUCAAUUUUUGUCUCUGCUAGCUCCCUACGGCUUCUCCUUCAUACCUUUCCUUGACUUAGUGACUUAGUGAGUUUUCCAUCGGGAUCAAGGAAUAGUGGCUAGGAAAGGAGAUUAUUUUCAACCAGAGAUCAAGUGACUUUCAUUGGCCCAAUUACCAUUUAAGUAACUGCUGCCUGAAUAAACUUUCAAAACACUUGCUGCAAGGCUGUUUGUAAAAGUCUUUCUUAUCACAGAGAAUGUCUCAAUUCCUAUUAAACAUAAAUAUUUAGUAAUAGGGCCAGUUAUCAAAAUAUAUGUGAAGGGAAAGGAGUGUGAGUCCACAGAGAAAUGGCGGCCAGUGAUAGCUGUCUCCAUUCAUUUCCCAGUGGAUGGGAGGGGCCUCAUCCGCUCCUGAGAGACCGAGGACCAGGGGGGUGCGAAGGAAUGGAGGCGGGCUAAUGAAUGGAAAGAGGAGCAGGAUGGGAAGAAGGGGGAAAACAAGGGAAAAUAGGUGAUGGUAGCUGAAGAAAUGGAACGGAAGACUGUUUGGUCUUGGUUUUUUUCCCUCCCCCUUCAUCAGUCAGUCGGAGUAGAGGGGAAGUGGGUGUAACGUGCACUACAGGGCCAGAGACGGGGAAGGAAGAAAGGAAGGAAGCAUUCUAAUAUUACCCCCUCCCACCCCCACAUUCAUCAUAUCCAUGAAUGAAAACACGCUGUGCUCCUUACAGUUUCAGUUCAAACAGUCUCAGCGUUCUUUCCUUGGUGCUGGUAAACCCAGGAAAUAGUUCAGUUCACAUAAAGCUCCUCCAUGUGGAAAGUUCCAGCCCAGCGACUUCUAGGCGUCUGUUAUUUGUUUGUGCUGCUGUGUUUAUAUGAAACUAAAUCCCAUUAGUUUCUAUUUAUUUGAAAAGGAAUGGUCCAUGAGUAACUAGUUUACAAAGAUAGUUCACCCAAAAAUGAAAAUUCAAUCAUUAUAUACUCACCACUAUGCUGAUGGAGCAGUUGGUGAAGUGUUUGAGUCCACAAAACACUUUGGGAGUUUCAGGGGUAAACGGCGUUGCAGCUGAAUCUAAUACAAUUGAAGUAACCGGGACUGAUUCUUCAAAUGUAAAUAAACAACAGGAAAAAUUCAUUAAGAUCAAACUCAGUUUCCUGUACAGGAUUAAAAGUGGUCUGUCGCCAUCAAAUCUGAAAAAAUAUUGUCCAGACUUCAUAUCAGUCCUUGACUAUGGAGAUAUUCUCUACUUGACACGCAGCCCCAUCAUACCUCCAGCAGUCAAACCCAGUGUCUCACAGUGACUCAUUUUUUUUUAUUGUGUUGUUUUGUUGCUCGUGUUCAGUUAGUUUUUUGCUGCUGAUUGUGAAUGUGUCUGGUUCUCAGGCCUCUCUUGGAAUAGAGAUCUUGAUCUCAAUGUCACUGCUUGAUUAAAUAUAGAUUAAAAUAAAUAAAACAGUAUCAAGUUGCCCUGUGACCUCUAAGUUCUAGGUAGUGUAAACAUCCUACACUCUCGGCGUCUGCCCCCUGGUGGCCGGGAGUGAGACUGUUUGCUCCAUCUGGCUCAGAAGCUCGACAAGCAGCAGGGGUGGAACGUUAGAAUAUAAAAAUAUAAAUAUAUUAUAUUCUCUUCAUUCAGAGUCCAGAGCAGAAUAUAAGUUACAGCACAGAAACAGAGGCUGUUGUGUCCUCUCAGUUUCACAUGCUUUUACUUUUAAUUCUCUUUGUCAUUAAAGUUGACAUCAACUGUGUUAUAAUGAUCUCAUGUAACUUUGCUGUGCAGCCUGUUGGAAUAAAUAGUUACGAGACUAAA